AUUGAACGCUGGCGGCAUGCCUUACACAUGCAAGUCGAACGGCAGCACGGGAGCAAUCCUGGUGGCGAGUGGCGAACGGGUGAGUAAUAUAUCGGAACGUGCCCGGUCGUGGGGAUAACGUAGCGAAAGCUACGCUAAUACCGCAUACGAUCUACGGAUGAAAGCGGGGGAUCGCAAGACCUCGCGCGAUUGGAGCGGCCGAUAUCAGAUUAGGUAGUUGGUGAGGUAAAGGCUCACCAAGCCGACGAUCUGUAGCUGGUCUGAGAGGACGACCAGCCACACUGGGACUGAGACACGGCCCAGACUCCUACGGGAGGCAGCAGUGGGAAUUUUGGACAAUGGGCGCAAGCCUGAUCCAGCAAUGCCGCGUGCAGGAUGAAGGCC
rnacentral:rRNA from 1 species